rnacentral:sRNA from 1 species
GCAGCACAAGAAAAGAUGAUCCAGCAGGAGCAUGAGCGGCAGGUGAAGUGGGAAAGGGAGGGCUGGGGUGGUGGGUGGGUGCUGGCCUGGCCAUGUCCUCAUAGCCCUGUCUGCUGCAGGAGCGGGAAGACGAGCUUCGAGCCAUGGCCCGCAAGAUCCGCAUGAAGGAGCGGGAACGCCGAGAGAAGGAGAGAGAAGAGUGGGAACGCCAGUACAGCCGGCAGAGCCGCUCACCCUCCCCCCGAUACAGUCGAGAAUACAGCUCUUCUCGAAGGCGCUCAAGGUCCCGAUCCCGAAGCCCCCAUUACCGACAUUAGGCAGAAGAGUGGGGGGUGGGGAGGACAA